GCGGACGUCCACAGCGCGGCCCGGGCUCCGGAAGCGGGCGAGACAAAGCAGGCGCACACGGCCGGGCUCCCGGCUGGCUAGAGCCCUUGGGAGAGGGGCUUCUCCUCCCUGAGCCUCAGUCUGCGCCUCUGCAAAUGGAGACUAGAACCCUGAGGCUGGGAGAAGCACCCUGGGCAUUCACCAUUAGCCAGGCUCUGUGCUUCUCAAGGAUCACCCCACAUCAUCAUCCCGACACCCCCUGACGUGUGAACUGGCGUCAUCCCCACACCACUGAUGAAGACACCGAGGGUCUGAGA